UACGUAGGUGGCAAGCGUUAUCCGGAAUUAUUGGGCGUAAAGAGCGCGCAGGUGGUUGAUUAAGUCUGAUGUGAAAGCCCACGGCUUAACCGUGGAGGGUCAUUGGAAACUGGUCGACUUGAGUGCAGAAGAGGGAAGUGGAAUUCCAUGUGUAGCGGUGAAAUGCGUAGAGAUAUGGAGGAACACCAGUGGCGAAGGCGGCUUCCUGGUCUGUAACUGACACUGAGGCGCGAAAGCGUAGGAGCAAACAGGAUUAGAUACCCCCCGUA
rnacentral:rRNA from 1 species